rnacentral:rRNA from 1 species
CUACGGGAUGCAGCAGUGGGGAAUAUUGGACAAUGGGGGAAACCCUGAUCCAGCAAUGCCGCGUGUGUGAAGAAGGCCUGCGGGUUGUAAAGCACUUUCGGUUGGGAGGACUGCUUCUAGCACUAAUAUUGUUGGAAGUUGACGUUACCUUCAGAAGAAGCACCGGAUAACUCCGUGCCAGCAGCCGCGGUAAUACAGAGGGUGCAAGCGUUAAUCGGAAUUACUGGGCGUAAAGCGCGCGUAGGCGGCUAGAUCAGUCGGGUGUGAAAGCCCCGGGCUUAACCUGGGAACUGCAUCCGAUACUGGCUAGCUUGAGUACAGGAGAGGGGAGUGGAAUUCCACAUGUAGCGGUGAAAUGCGUAGAUAUGUGGAGGAACACCAAUGGCGAAGGCAGCUCUCUGGCCUGAUACUGACGCUGAGGUGCGAAAGCGUGGGGAGCAAACAGGAUUAGAUACCCCAGUAGUC